UUUCUCCUCCUUUUCUCAGCAGUGAGGAAUAUUGGUCAAUGGGCGAGAGCCUGAACCAGCCAAGUCGCGUGGGGGAGUACUGCCCUAUGGGUUGUAAACCUCUUUUGUCGGGGAGCAAAAGCCGGACGUGUCCGGCUGUGAGAGUACCCGAAGAAAAAGCAUCGGCUAACUCCGUGCCAGCAGCCGCGGUAAUACGGAGGAUGCGAGCGUUAUCCGGAUUUAUUGGGUUUAAAGGGUGCGUAGGCUGUCGGAUAAGUUAGAGGUCAAAUGUCGGGGCUUAACCCCGUGCCUGCCUCUG
rnacentral:rRNA from 1 species